GACAGAGGGUGCAAACGUUGUUCGGAUUCAUUGGGCGUAAAGGGCGCGUAGGCGGCCUGCUAAGUCGAACGUGAAAUCCCUGGGCUCAACCCAGGAACUGCGUCCGAUACUGGUUGGCUUGAAUCCGGGAGAGGGAUGUGGAAUUCCAGGUGUAGCGGUGAAAUGCGUAGAUAUCUGGAGGAACACCGGUGGCGAAGGCGACAUCCUGGACCGGUAUUGACGCUGAGGCGCGAAAGCCAGGGGAGCAAACGGG
rnacentral:rRNA from 1 species